AAUGAACGCUGGCGGCAGGCCUAAAACAUGCAAGUCGAACGCCCUAGCAAUAGGGAGUGGCGCACGGGUGAGUAACAUGUGGGAAUAUGCCUUUUGGUACGGAACAACGUUUGGAAACGAACGCUAAUACCGUAUGGUCCCUCCGGGGUAAAGAUUUAUCGCCAAAAGAUUAGCCCGCACUAGAUGAGCUAGUUGGUAAGGUAAUGGCUUACCAACGCGACGAUCUAUAGCUGUUCUGAGAGGAAGAUCAGCCACACUGGGACUGAGACACGGCCCAGACGCCUACGGGAGGCAGCAGUUAGGAAUAUUGGACAAUGGGCGCAAGCCUGAUCCAGCCAUGCCGCGUGAGUGAUGAAGGCCUUCGGGUUGUAAAGCUCUUUAGCCGACGAAUAUAAUGACUGUAGUCGGAGAAUAAGCCCCGGCUAACUUCGUGCCAGCCGCCGCCGUAAGAC
rnacentral:rRNA from 1 species